AUGCCAGGACCAUCUGGAACUACUUGUGAAGUCAGGGAUGGCUGGUUAACUGUUUUGGACUCUUCAAAGGCCAUAUAUGAAUGUGCAGAGAACGCUUUGGACAUGCAUGAAAUGGAGAGCCCAUUACGUCUCACAAUGGACAUCAGACAAAGUGUAGCUGAUCAGGAUAUGGCCCUCAUCUCAUUCUACAAGAGACCCAAUGUUGAAUGGGCACGUCCUUUGGAGUGCAGGCUUGAGGGGGAUACAGCUAUCGGACAAGGAGUAAUAAGUUUUUUCUUAUCAACAUGCAUGGAGAAGCUGAUGUCUGGUUUUUGCAUCAAUUUUGGUUAGUUUGUUUUUGGUUGACGAUACCUAUGUUUGAUGAUCAUUAUAUUGUAUAACUUUUUAUAACUUAAUUAACUGUCUGUUUAUUUUGUGAAAACCUCUGUAUUAUGUGGAAGUAAUCUUUUUUUUUCUUUCUUUUCAUUUAUCUCAUAGCAAACUCUAAUGUUACUCCACUUUUUGAGGGAGAGCCAGGCCAUUACAUACCAUCAGCAUCUCACUUUCUUGUGGAGAGUGAUAUGUUCCUUAUGGCAGGGAGGAUGGUAGGGCACUCCUUUCUUCAUGGAGGCCCAUGCCUAUCUGGACUUAGCCCAGCCGUUGUGCAUGUCCUACUUGGUAGUAGUCCUGAAACUGCCACAGUUACACCCGAGGACUGUCCAGACCUAGACCUGAGAGGGAAAAUUCAGCUUGUAGGUUUUUAUGUUUAAAUGAGG
rnacentral:lncRNA from 1 species